AAGAACAAAACGUGAAAGUCAAUCCUUCAAUGUUUUGCAUUAGCCAGAUUGGCACCAUCAUUUACCCAGAAAAUCUCACCUUCCAAAAACCUCAUUUGUCCUUUGCUCCCCUCGACACCAUUUUCUUUCAGUCUUUAACAUCUUAAUCAACCUUCUUCUCACCCUUCUCCAACCCUCGUCACACGAACCGAGUGCGAAUUCAAACCAACAUGUCGAUGAGGUCUUGCUUCCUUUCUGACGUCUGCUGCUGUGCCACGGAUCCUGGUACUUGCGUCACCUUGCACUCCUCUCACAUUCAGUGGACGUCCCAUUCAUCCAGGAAGCGCCUUUCAUCGUUCUGGCCCACAAUGCACAGGAACUCUUACCAGCAUCUUUCCACAUCAUGACAUCUGACUUCAUACUUUUCUCAGUGAUAUCAGCACUGCAGAAAGGAGGAGACAGCUUUCCCCUCAGAGCAAACUCUGGCAAAGUGCUUGGAAAGGU